CCUACGGGAGGCAGCAGUAGGGAAUCUUUCACAAUGGGCGAAAGCCUGAUGGAGCAACGCCGCGUGCAGGAUGAAGGCCUUCGGGUUGUAAACUGCUUUUAUAAGCGAGAAAUAUGAUGGUAACUUAUGAAUAAGGAUCGGCUAACUACGUGCCAGCAGCCGCGGUCAUACGUAGGAUCCGAGCAUUAUCCGGAGUGACUGGGUGUAAAGAGUUGCGUAGGUGGCAUAAUAAGUUGCUAGUGAAAUCUGGUGGCUCAACCAUUCAGACUAUUAGCUAAACUGUUAAGCUCGAGACCGUUAGGGGUAACUGGAAUUUCUAGUGUAGGAGUGAAAUCCGUAGAUAUUAGCAGGAACACCAAUAGCGUAGGCAGGUUGCUGGGACGGUUCUGACACUAAGGCACGAAAGCGUAGGGAGCAAACGGGAUUAGAUACCCUUGUAGUC
rnacentral:rRNA from 1 species